rnacentral:rRNA from 1 species
UACGUAGGGGGCGAGCGUUGUCCGGAGUUACUGGGCGUAAAGCGCUUGUAGGCCGUCCACCAAGUUUGGGGUGACAGUUGCCGACUUAAUCGGCAAAGUGCCUCAAAGACUGGCGGACUUGAGGGCCACAGAGGGACAUGGAACUCCAGGUGUAGUGGUGAAAUGCGUAGAUAUCUGGAAGAACACCAAAGGCGAAGGCAGUGUCCUGGGUGGUCGCUGACGCUGAGAGGCGAAAGCCAGGGGAGCGAACGGG